rnacentral:misc_RNA from 1 species
GGGGAUUCUGAUAAUUCUGGGUUCCAUAUUGAAGAUUGUGAUGGCCCUGAACAGUUUGUCAGUGGGUUGAGGGUUGUGGAUUAUGAAUCUGACUGGGACCCUGAUGAUAACUGCGUUUCAGGCAGAUUGUUCAAUCUGGAAGAAGUUGAUGGCGAAGACGAAAAUGAGAAUAUAUGCGACAAUGAGAGUGAUGACCCGAGUCUUCGGCUGUGUUGGGGUUCCUUCCAGUUGGAGGAUCAUAGGGAUGUGAAUGAGGACUUUG